UGGGGAAUUUUGGACAAUGGGCGAAAGCCUGAUCCAGCAAUGCCGCGUGUGUGAAGAAGGCCUUCGGGUUGUAAAGCACUUUUGUCCGGAAAGAAAUCCUUGGCUCUAAUACAGUCGGGGGAUGACGGUACCGGAAGAAUAAGCACCGGCUAACUACGUGCCAGCAGCCGCGGUAAUACGUAGGGUGCAAGCGUUAAUCGGAAUUACUGGGCGUAAAGCGUGCGCAGGCGGUUUGCUAAGACCGAUGUGAAAUCCCCGGGCUAACCUGGGGAACUGCAUUGGUGACUGGCAGGCUAGAGUAUGGCAGAGGGGGGUAGAAUUCCACGUGUAGCAGUGAAAUGCGUAGAGAUGUGGAGGAAUACGAUGGCGAAGGCAGCCCCCUGGGCCAAUACUGACGCUCAUGCACGAAAGCGUGGGGAGCAAACAGGAUUAG
rnacentral:rRNA from 1 species